rnacentral:rRNA from 1 species
ACUCCUACGGGAGGCAGCAGUGGGGAAUAUUGCACAAUGGGGGAAAGCCCUGAUGCAGCCAUGCCGCGUGUGUGAAGAAGGCCUUCGGGUUGUAAAGCACUUUCAGUAGGGAGGAAGGUAGUGUAGUUAACACCUUGCAUUAUUUGACGUUACCUACAGAAGAAGCACCCGGCUAACCCGUGCCAGCAGCCGCGGUAAUACGGAGGGUGCGAGCGUUAAUCGGAAUUACUGGGCGUAAAGCGCGCGUAGGCGGAUCAGAAAGUUGGGGGU